UUCUUUGCCACAGCGCUGGGGAGGGGAGCAAGCUCCAUGCGUCAGUUCCCGCCAAAUUGUAGCUCUUUCGAGCGAGGACGUGCUGACUGAAACACUGCACAGAGACGGGCAAGCACUCAGAGGCAUUUCGUUUGCCUUGAUCCUGGAGGCGGCCUUCUCCCAUUGCCGAGGAUUUGAAGCGAACUCCUGGCAGAUCAGAAAUGUUCAGGCGAACGGCGGUUAUAUUUGUCUGUGGACCCAAGACUUCGUUGACGGGCAAAUAUGGAACCCUGCAACAAGGACUGUAGUGUGAAUAGCGUGCUGCGCUGCUCUCGCCAACUGAAAA